UAGAGUUUGAUCCUGGCUCAGGACGAACGCUGGCGGCGUGCUUAACACAUGCAAGUCGAACGGAAAGGCUCCAGCUUGCUGGAGUACUCGAGUGGCGAACGGGUGAGUAACACGUGGGUAAUCUGCCCUGCACUCUGGGAUAAGCCUGGGAAACUGGGUCUAAUACUGGAUAUGACCUUUCUCCUUAUGGGGUUUGGUGGAAAGUUUUUCGGUGUAGGAUGAGCCCGCGGCCUAUCAGCUUGUUGGUGGGGUGAUGGCCUACCAAGGCGACGACGGGUAGCCGGCCUGAGAGGGUGAUCGGCCACAUUGGGACUGAGAUACGGCCCAGACUCCUACGGGAGGCAGCAGUGGGGAAUAUUGCACAAUGGGCGGAAGCCUGAUGCAGCGACGCCGCAUGAGGGAUGACGGCCUUCGGGUUGUAAACCUCUUUCAGCAGGGACGAAGCGUAAGUGACGGUACCUGCAGAAGAAGCACCGGCUAACUACGUG
rnacentral:rRNA from 1 species